UGAGUAACACGUGGAUAACCUACAUAUAAGACUGGGAUAACUUCGGGAAACCGGAGCUAAUACCGGAUAAUAUAUUGAACCGCAUGGUUCAAUAGUGAAAGACGGUUUUGCUGUCACUUAUAGAUGGAUCCGCGCCGCAUUAGCUAGUUGGUAAGGUAACGGCUUACCAAGGCAACGAUGCGUAGCCGACCUGAGAGGGUGAUCGGCCACACUGGAACUGAGACACGGUCCAG
rnacentral:rRNA from 1 species